rnacentral:tRNA from 1 species
GUCAGCAGGUGGAGCAGUGGUUAACGCUGUCUCCUGGCACUUGAUGGACGUGGGUUCAGUUCCCACGUGCUGCUG